GAAAAACGCAAGUGACGUGCCUAACACAUGCAAAUUUAAUAGUUAUUUUUUAACUAUAGUGAAUUGGUGAGUAAUAUAUGAAAAUUUAAUUUUAGAUUAGAAAUAUUCCUAAUAACUUAGGGUUAAUUUCUGAUAAGCGCAUUUGUGCUUUAAAAAGUUAAUACUGUCUAAAAAAAAGUUCAUAUCUGAUUAGCUAGUUAGUAAGGUAAUAGCUUACUAAGGCGAAGAUCAGUAGCUGCCCUGAGAGGGGGAUCAGCCACAUUGGGAUUGAAAUACAGCCCAAACUCCUACGGGAGGCUGCAGUGGGGAAUAUUGCACAAUGGGCGCAAGCCUGAUGCAGCCAUGCCGCGUGUAUGAAGAAGGCCUUCGGGUUGUAAAGUACUUUCAGCGAGGAGGAAGGCGUUAAGGUUAAUAACCUUGGCGAUUGACGUUACUCGCAGAAGAAGCACCGGCUAACUCCGUGCCAGCCGCCGCCGUAAAAC
rnacentral:rRNA from 1 species